rnacentral:rRNA from 1 species
GAUCUUUAUAUAAUAAUAAUUUAUAUAAAAAUUAGUUAAUUUAUUUUUUUAAUUUAUUUUAUAUUAUAUUGGGGUAAUAAUAAAAUUUUAGUAAUUUUUAUUUAUUAAGAUUCAAUUAUAAUUGAUUUUUUGAUCCAGUAUUAUUGAUUAUAAGAUAAAGUUACCUUAGGGAUAACAGCGUAAUGAUUUUUGAGAGUUCUUAUCAA